AGGGUUGGGGUCUCCUACUUCCACAUCCAGAGAGGGUUGGCGCCACUGGAAACUAAAGCAGCCCCCCACCCCGACUCCAGAGGAGAGACAGCUGCCCCAGCCACCCUCACCUGGGCUGGCUCUUAGACUUGGAGUCCUCAUCCGCCAGGGGCUGGACGCUCUUCUCGGCCACAUCAGUCAACACAGAGAAGGUUGGCUCCACGAUGAAGUCGAUGAAACCUGCAGUAAAGGGAGAACACAAUGGAGAGUUCCCACACACACACCCAGAGGGCUGGGCAGAGGCACCUGUGUGGCUGGAACGCCUGGCUGCGGGCCUUCUACCCAGGACCCCAGGCCCCAGCACAAGCUUACUCCACAGGAAGACUGGUUUUAAGGGAUGGCAACUCGGAGAGGCCUGGCCUCAGCCCAGAAAGCAUCCUGUCCCCUUGCCAGGACUCUCCUCCCCACAGGAGAGGCCACUCACCAAUCUGCGACUGUGCCACCAGAGUGGAAGUGCGAUCACACAGCGGAGAAAAGGGCAGCCCCAGCUCUGCCUCUUUGUCACCCUGGGGAGAAGACAAGGUGGGAAAGCUGGAGGCUUUCCUCUGAGGCUUGCCUCAGACCACCCCCACUCUGGGGUGCAGCUGGGGGAGGUCAGGGGUUGUUGUGGGAGAAGAGGCAUCUCGGUGCCUUUGACCUGGAAAUGGACGAUACGCAAAUGCAAUGCUACCACAGUUAAGCUUUUAGGAAAAUGACCUCUGUUCCCAGGGCUUCGGGAUCAGGUCAGAAGCUACAGGGAGCUGAAUGAAGAUCUGGAAGUGGAGUGG